CCAGUAAACGGCGGCCGUAACUAUAACGGUCCUAAGGUAGCGAAAUUCCUUGUCGGGUAAGUUCCGACCUGCACGAAUGGCGUAAUGAUGGCCAGGCUGUCUCCACCCGAGACUCAGUGAAAUUGAACUCGCUGUGAAGAUGCAGUGUACCCGCGGCAAGACGGAAAGACCCCGUGAACCUUUACUAUAGCUUGACACUGAACAUUGAGCCUUGAUGUGUAGGAUAGGUGGGAGGCUUUGAAGUGUGGACGCCAGUCUGCAUGGAGCCAACCUUGAAAUACCACCCUUUAACGUUUGAUGUUCUAACCUAGGCCCAUAAACUGGGUCGGGGACCGUGUCUGGUGGGUAGUUUGACUGGGGCGGUCUCCUCCUAAAGAGUAACGGAGGAGCACGAAGGUUGGCUAAGCAUGGUCGGACAUCAUGCGGUUAGUGCAAAGGCAUAAGCCAGCUUGACUGCGAGAGUGACGGCUCGAGCAGGUACGAAAGUAGGUCUUAGUGAUCCGGUGGUUCUGAAUGGAAGGGCCAUCGCUCAACGGAUAAAAGGUACUCCGGGGAUAACAGGCUGAUACCGCCCAAGAGUUCAUAUCGACGGCGGUGUUUGGCACCUCGAUGUCGGCUCAUCACAUCCUGGGGCUGAAGUAGGUCCCAAGGGUAUGGCUGUUCGCCAUUUAAAGUGGUACGCGAGCUGGGUUUAGAACGUCGUGAGACAGUUCGGUCCCUAUCUGCCGUGGGCGUUGGAAGAUUGAGAGGGGUUGCUCCUAGUACGAGAGGACCGGAGUGAACGCACCACUGGUGUUCGGGUUGUCAUGCCAAUGGCAUUGCCCGGUAGCUAAGUGCGGAAGAGAUAACCGCUGAAAGC
rnacentral:rRNA from 1 species